rnacentral:rRNA from 1 species
CAGUCGCGUUCUCUGGGAUUCAGCCUUGCUUUUGCUUGGUGCAUUUCCUAGUCUACGGGCCAGCAUGGAUUUCGAUCGGUGGAAAAGGGUUGGGGGAAUGUGGCACCUCCGGGUGUGUUAUAGCCCCUUUCCGCAUACGCCGGUUGGGAUCGAGGACCUUCAGUGCACGCUUCGGUUGUGCUUUGAUGCUGGCGUAAUGGCUUUAAGCGACCCGUUUGAAACACGGACCAAGGAGUCUAACAUGUAUGCGAGUGUU